AUCAUUGACAUGCCAAGCUACCAGCUGAGAGCCAUUAGGAUGUGACCCACCGAAGCCAGCAGGAAUCUUUGAAUCGGCUUCUAUGCAGAAGAAGGUGUGGUCAGAGCCAAGAGGUAGUUCACCAUCCUUCCACCAUCAUGGUACUCAGCAUAGACUGUGGGUUUUGGUAAUCACUGCCUGCCUCCUGCCAAAACAAUGGGGUACUAUCUUAUGGAUACAAAUAGGAAAAAGUGGCAAUGAAUCUAAAAGCCUUGGUAUAUUCACAAGACCAGCAGUUAUCCCAUUGGUUUGCAGGAACAGGCAAACCCCUCUGCAGCAAAUGCAAAGGUAGGACAGACAGUGUUUGCUGAAUUCAAGUGAUACCUGUAAUCAAUACCUUCACUGGACAUCAGCUGAGAAAGGACCCUUCCCUUGCACUGUGAGCUGAACACCUUCUGAUCACCAUGCAGAAUGACAAGUGCUCUCCCUCUGAAACAUGACAAGGCUCAACAGUAGCAUAGGCAGAAAUAUUUGGGUCAGAGACUGCUAGCAAAGGCCAAGGUGAACAACAUGACCGGAGGAGAAGUUAAGAAAAUCUUAAGAAUUCUGUCUGGUUUUACGUAAGUCCCUAAAAGCCUUGAAUUCAUUGGAAUUCACUGAAGACAAGUCACUUCAUGCUAUAAAGUGUACAGAAGCCUUUUGCAGAAGCAUUUAUAAUGUGUAGCUCUCUGACAUGACUUAGGAAGAUAAGACAUGAACAAUAGAGAGUUAUUAACAUGAAUAAUUUUCCAUGAAAAUUGGAAGCACUGCAGAACAAUAGGAUGGAUAUGGCUUAAUAGCACCAGGUUGUCUGCAGGGCUGAACAUAAGAUAUCACUGUAGGAAAGAAAUAACAAAGACAAAAGUUAGAACAAAACUGCUUUCAGAAAUAUGCUGUGGCAGCUGGACCCCAAGAUCCCUUUUCCUGGAAGUGUUUCCAGAGAUUCAGUGCCCAGAAAACAUGCCUGAAAAGCCAGAGGUAAAAGACAUGCAGAUUUUCCAAACCUGAAGAACUUCAAAAACCCAACACAUGAAUCUAAACAUCUUCACCUUAUUCACCUUCAUUCCACAUCUUGGGUCAGCAGGAUGAUGACAGAUGUAUUUGCAAAAGUCAUCUUAGCAUCUUAUAUUAAUCAAAUAUGUUGUCCCCUUCAGUACAGGAAAAAAGAAGCAACAUAAAGAGAUGAGCAAAUUAGUAUUUCCACACAUCAUUUUGUGUAUUGUCUUUUCUGAAAGCAGUGUCUUCAGUAGGAAAGAUGUAGGUAAAAGGAGGGCUAAUGGAAAUUGCAGGCAUUGGCAUAAACAUCCCCUGGGGUAUGUAGUUGCUGCUGUGACUUUCCCAAGACAUAUUUCUGCCAUGUAUGUUGCUACGACGCACAGCUGAGCAGCAGAGCUGGUGCUAGGUCAGGUGCCAAUAAUUUAUGCUGGUUGAAAUACCAAUCCCAAGAAGCUCAAGAGAAAAAAUGUUCAUACACCACACGAAGAAAUGGCAGCUGUUCACUGGCUCUCCUUGCUGAAGCCUCCUCCACUUGUACGUAACUGACACCUAUAGGAGUGAUCAUACAGAAGAAAAGUAUUUCCAUUUGACAUUUUGGUGGACAAUCUUAUGUAGCAGCAAGAUGCUGUCUGAAACACUCAGACCUCUUCCAGUUUAUUCACUCCAACAGUGGGGAUUAUUUUAUAACACAUGACCAGAAAUAAUAUUUUCUUCAGUUCAUCAGGAAACAGACCAACGCAAAGCACUGGCUCUUGAGGAACAGGAGCUAUGACAUCCUGUCCCUGCUGCACAUUCAGUGCCCCUGUAAGACAUUCGAAAUAGACCUUUCAUAAAAGGGGGUGAUUUUGCUGAGUCAAGUGAUACUGUGUGUCUCUGUCUUCAAAAACCCCUAACAAAGUUUAUGUUUUAUUUGAAACCAAAAGGUGACAGCCAGCUCCAGUCCAUCAAGUGCAACAUUCACUGAAAAGCCUAAAAGUUUUCUGAUAUAGAAAAGGUCACCCUACCAUUUCUAGUACUGUGGGUGAGUGAGUGCAGGGAGGGAGGAAAUGAAGAAAGGGAGGAGGAAAGGAAGGAUGGAAAGAAGGCUGGAAGGAGUGAUUCUCUUAUUCUAAGAUUGCUGUAUGUUGAUGUUUGGGAAGUCUAUGUUGAUGCUGCCUGUGUGAGCCUUUCUGUGGUUAUACAGAGGAUUUUGGUCUCUGUGGUCCUACCUUCAGUGCAUACUUGAUUCUCUACUGAAAACUUUAAUGCCAGGUUUUAAAAUCAAGAAGCUGAUUCCCUCUGUUCGUGUGGCAAAACCAGAAUGAGGAAGAAAAUAUAAAUGUUUUCUUUA